rnacentral:misc_RNA from 1 species
GCAGCCAUCCUGGAAGAAUAGUUCUUAAAUGGAGCAAGCUCAUCCUCUGAUGCCAGCAUUUCUUUAGUUAGCAAAUUUGGAAACAUUUCCAUGAGUGGGGCCAUAUAUUUUUCGGCAUUGUAUAUCUUUCCGGAUGCUAAAUAUAUAUGUGUGUUUUUAUCAAAACCCAUUCCCCUGAGCAUCAGGCCUACCUCUAAAGGAGUAAGAGGGCACUUCCCAUUGAGCCUGAUUGCUCCAGGACGAAUGGUACGGCCAGGCUUUGUAAAUUUCCCUUUCCAACCUCUUUCUCUUGCUGCUAUCAUGUCUUUUUCUUCUUGCUUUCCACCAUCAAAUACACAGCA